UCCUAAAGAUCUAAGAAAUACCGUGCCGAAGCGCCCCCUGACAGWACUACACUCAGUCGAAAGCUGGGAASAAACAGAUUAGAUACCCUGUAAKCCACGCCUAAACGAUGUCUACUUGGAGGUUGUGCCUUURAGCCKUGGCUUUCGGAACUAACGCGUUAAGUAGACCGCCUGGGAAGUACGUCGCAAGAUUAAAACUCAAAUGAAUUGACGGGGGCCCGCACAAGCGGUGGAGCAUGUGGUUUAAUUCGAUGCAACGCGAAGAACCUUACCUACUCUUGACAUCCAGAGAACUUUCCAGAGAUGGAUUGUGCCUUCGGGAACUCUGAGACAGGUGCUGCAUGGCUGUCGUCAGCUCGUGUUGUGAAAUGUUGGGUUAAGUCCCGCAACGAGCGCAACCCUUAUCCUUGUUUGCCAGCACUUCGGGUGGGAACUCCGGGAGACUGCCGGUGAUAAACCGGAGGAAGGUGGGGACGACGUCAAGUCAUCAUGGCCCUUACGAGUAGGGCUACACACGUGCUACAAUGGCGCAUACAGAGGGCGGCCAACUUGCGAGAGUGAGCGAUCCCAAAAAGGUGCGGUCGGUAGGUCCGGAUCGGAGUCUGCAACCUCCGACUCCGUGAAGUCGGAAUCGCUAGUAAUCGUGGAUCAGAAUGCCACGGUGAAUACGUUCCCGGGCCUGCACACACCG
rnacentral:rRNA from 1 species